UUUCGCAAUGCCCGAAAGGGUGACGAAGCGACGCCGCGUGAGUGAGGAAGGCCUUCGGGUUGUAAAGCUCUGUCAGGAGUUAAGAAAUAUAAGUGUGUUAAUACCACAUUUAUUUGACGAAGGCUCCAAAGGAAGCCACGGCUAACUCUGUGCCAGCAGCCGCGGUAAUACAGAGGUGGCAAGCGUUGUUCGGAAUUAUUGGGCGUAAAGAGCACGUAGGUGGGUUUGUAAGUCAGAUGUGAAAGCCUUCUGUUCAACGGAAGAAUUGCAUCUGAAACUGCGAGUCUUGAGUGUAGGAGGGGAGAAUGGAACUUCUGGUGGAGCGGUGAAAUGCGUAGAUAUCAGAAGGAACGCCGGCGGCGAAAGCGAUUCUCUGGCCUAUUACUGACACUCAGUGUGCGAAAGCUAGGGGAGCAAACGGGAUUAGAUACCCCGGUAGUCCUAGCUGUAAACGAUGGGCACUAAGUAGAGGGGUUUUA
rnacentral:rRNA from 1 species